UCAGAGGGCGCUAGUAGAGACUUCAGCUAGAGGAGCUCGUGCGCAUCACUGCGUGGUGUCUGUCUUUGUGUCCACCGCUUACUGAAAACCGGGAGGAGUCCAAGCCGGCUGAUAUCUGAAUCUCGCUGCCAUAAACAACAAUCUCCAGCACAGAGUUCUUCUCGUAGCUGUCCAGGGAGUCGAGAUCAUAAAUUGAGGAGCAAACUGGACCAUAUGCCCACUCCGUGAUCUUCCGAGACAGCUGCCUGCAAUCUUUAAACUCUCGCUGCACUAUGUGCUUAAACAACUGGUGAACAAAAAAAGAUCAAGAUUAGAAUGUUUACAUAUGUUUGAAUGAACUGAUAAGGCAGCCAUACUGUACACUACUUUGAAUUAAAGAUGCUUUGUAUAAUCCAUCAAUUCAUACAGCAUUAAAGGUGCCAAAGAAUGCAUUGA